CUUAAUAUUUCUAUACAUGUUUUUAUUUACAUGAGCUUAUCAGCAUGUUGAUAGGUUGAUUGAAGAUAGUAGGUGAAGGGGUAACAUAUAUCAGAAAGCAAAAGUAUGUUUGAUUAGCUUUUCUUAUCUUCAUGUACAUUUCUCCUAGUUUCUGCAUGAGCCACUCUCAGUUGUACCAUAUUUUGUCCUUAUGUAAGCAUCACUUUAAUUUAAUAUUUUAACAUGGGCAUCAUUUUUAAAGGGACUGACCCCCCGAUCAUACGACACCAAAAAAAAAGAAGAAAUGUUUUAGAUAUCAGAAAAUUAUUGCUAUAUUUCUUUAGAAGGCUUUGAAACUUAGUUACUGUCAGGUUUAUAAGUUAUGGAAACACAUAAAAAUUAUUUGUUUUUACAAAAUUGAAAAGCAUUCUGCAGCAACCCGAGUUCAAUCCCUACUGGGGCAUUAAGUGUUCUCUUGAUUGGCAUUUUUGAGGUACUAAGUUUAGAAACAAAAACUUGUGUUCUCAUGUUCAUAAUAUGAUCAAAUUAAAGAAAGAUCAUUUUUAGCCAAAUUCUGGAGGUCAGUGCCUUUAAGAAGUCAUCCAAUAAGACUGUUCCAAAAAGUAUAGAAAAAUGAUCUACACAUAUUUAUUGGUAUCUUUGAGAUAAUAUAAAGAGAUGAUAAUUUACACCUAAGAGGAAAAGUAUGUAUACAUGAAGUUUUAGCACUAAGGAUUUGUCUGUAAUGAAAAGCAGGUUCUUCUCCUUUAAAACUUAAAAGUUGCUGGCAGUGGCAUAUGCUAACUAUGCAGUACACUUGCGGAAAAAUGAUAAUAUAAAGAAGAUAUCUCGGAUUGAAAUUUAAGGUCGAAAUUUCUUAUUAACAUUGAUAUUCAAAAUUUAUCGAGAAUAUGAGCUAUGGGUUAGUUUUGCGGCUUUCUUUUGAAAUUAAUUUUCAGGCUCAGAACUUCUGUACUUGGCUGAGGUGAAUGUUUUCUGUGGUGAUUCAGCAUUAGAAAGUUCAUCCAGGAGUUAUUUAUGCUGCACUUGAUUCAUGUUAGGAAGUUGACAUUUGAUUGCCAAAACAAAUUAAUCAGUUCUUAAUAUAUCUAGAAACACUUUUAAUUUACUGGAAAUACAAUUUGAUAUGUUGAAUCCCUAUCAAAGUUUAAGUGUUUACAGCAAUGUAUCGUUGAUUGAUACGGAAAUUGCAUUUUUGAAAUUUCGGACAUAGCGGUCGUGAAUAUAAUUGCAGUUUUUCCUUGGUUCUCAAUGGUACCUUUUUUAGCGAAAAUUUCUUUAUAUGUAUUUGAUAUUCCUGUACUGAAAUCAUAUUUAGUGUAGGAAUCUUAGGUGCUGUUAUAGCAGAUAGGAAAACAGAAACGUUGGGAGUUUGUCAUUUUUCAGAUAAUAAUAUUAUGAUAAGAAUCGCCAUAGUGUUGCCAUAUCAUGAUAUACAGCGCUAUGAAAUUUCUGUAACACCCAUCCCUGUUAUAGGAGUAAUCAUAUCAUAAUAUAUGGUGCUACUGGUGCUACGAAAUUUCUGGUAAUACCAUUAUGAAGCCAUACCUUCAAGGUCAAGGUCACAGGCAAAUGUUCAUAACAGGACUUGACAGUAUAAAACAUCAUGCUCUUUUAUUUCACUAGAUUUUGCCAGUAAUUAUAGCUGAAUGAAAUUAAGUUAAAUGCAGCCUGUUUUUUGCUAAAUGUCUUACUACAAUAUACCUAGAAAACUUAUUUCAGACUGGGAAUGCAUGCCAUUGAAUCCUGACUGGUAUUUUCCCUGUCUCAGGUCGGCUAUAAAUAUCACAACCAUUUUCCUGAUAGCAUUUAGAUAUUCUAGCUGAUAGGUUACCUGGAGGAAUGCUUUAUCUGCAGAAUUUGUGACUACAGUUGCUGUAAACAUCCGUCAAUAUGUGCACUUGUUCCAUUUGUAAGUCAAAAUAAUUUUAGUAAUGGAAAUGUACUUGAUCUGGGAAGAAACAAAAUGGGGCAUCACUUUAGAUGACUACUGUACAGCUUGUACCAAAAAAUAUAAACUGCAAUAAAAUUCAUUUAUUUUUAUGUCUCCUACACCACUGAGUGUUGGGAGACAUAUUGAUUUACUCCUGUCUGUGUGUGUGUCCAUCCGUGUCUGUCACAAAACAUCUUGUUCGCACUCUAAAUCGAACAUUUCUCAUCCAAUCUUCACCAAACUUGAACAAAAUGUGUUUGCCAAUAAGUCCUCGGCCAAGUUCGAUAACUAGCCAAAUCGGCUUCUAAAAGGCACUUCGGAAUUAUGGCCCUUAAAACAUUGUUUUUGAUGAUCAAAGCACUGAAAGUGUGAUUGGGUUGUAUCAAAGCACUGACAGUCUGAUUGGGUUGUAUCAAAGACUGAAAGUCUGAUUGGGUUGUUUUUGAUAAGCAAAGCACUGAAAAUCUGAUUGGGAAUUAAAAAUAUAUAUGCUCGAACAUUUCUCAUCCGAUCUUAUACUACUAUUUAGAUGAUUAGGCAGUUGUGGGAGACAUGCGCUUUUCUCAAAAGCAGCUCUGGUUUUUGAUGAUUUAUGUCUCAAAUGCUGGGGAGACAUUGCUAUAUAUUGGCCAGCUGUCUGAUUGUCAAACCAUCACAAAUUUUGUUUUCAACCUCCAAAGAUUUUCAAGUAACCUGAUACAAAUGCUUGUCAUGAGGUGAUAGUACAGAAUAUAAUUAUCUGACAGCCAAAACACUUCAAGGUAUUAUCAGAAGUCAGAUAGCAGAACUCUAUAAAAUUUCUACUUCCUCUUUUAAACCCUAGAAAGAUUUUCAGUUCAGUAUCAGGGUCAUACAGUGAGUAGCAAUAUCUCAUGUAUGCUGCUCCUUGAAAGAUUUUCAAAUUACUUAGGACAAAAUUCUAGCCAUGUUGAUUCAAGGUUAAAGUGUUACUGUGAUAUGGUAAGUAAGGGUGCUUAUAAUACAGAUCUAUAUUAUUGAAGCUACAACAUUGUGUUUUUGAGGAAGAUUUCAGUUUUUGCAUCUUGUUUGUUUUAUCUUUCAUCAAUUAUAAGAUUUAUGAUGUAGUCAUGUACAUGUGGACUGAAACUGCUUUAAGAAAGUUUUAGAGCAAAGUACAUUGCAACUGUGACUGCUGAUUAACAGUAUGUUAGAGAGAAUUUCUUGGCAUGUUCUGUUUGAUAACUUUCACUGCUGAAUGCUCGGUGUUUACAGUAAUAGUAAGCGUUUGAAUGUUGGUAAAGUUCCUGGUUUCUUACAAACAUUCUUAAAUGUUGAACAAUCAUCUAACAAUGUUGGUAAAAUAUAAUGCAUGUGUGUAGCUGCCUCAUUAACAUCCACUUACUACAAGAGUUUAGAUGAAUGAAUGGAACUGAUAAACUAAUCUACAAUAUUAUUUUACAAAUAUCAAAAAAAAGCUUGGGAAUAUUUAUAAUAAGAUAAAAAUUAAGAUGGAUAAUUAUGUUGUCAGAAAUUGGGAGUGAACAGACUUGAGAAGUUAAAGCAGUGCUGGGAAUUCUAUUAUAUAACUUACAUCAUUGACCUUGUUUAGAAAUUUUGAGAAUCGACCAUGAGUUGGCAAGUGUACGUGACAGACCAGUUGUUGACGCCAGGCGACAUGUGUAGUGCUGGCAUUUAUGGCGUUGAUGGGGGCGAGUGGGCCGGGGAAGGUUGUAUAAGACCGCAACCACAAGAAGUCACAAGACUGAUCAACAUUAUCUCGGGAAAAGAGAGUGACUUUAACGGAAUCAAAAUAGGUGGGAUCAGUUUUCUGUACGUCACUCAUGAUGCGCAGGAAGGUUCAAUUAUCUUGAAUCGAAUCGGAGCUCCAUCUGACAAGGAGAAAUAUGUAUGCUGCGGAUACCUGGCCAAGGGCUGUUUUGUGUAUGGCGCAGUGGUCGGAAACUACAGAAUGGGAAAUUGCAGUAAAGUUUCAUGUCGGCUUAGGGACUACCUAAAGCAAGUUGGAUACUAGCAUAGACAGAAAUCUAGUCAAUAUAAUAUUAGGUGCUAUCCAAUUUUAUUCAUGUGAAAUUCAUUUGGACAAAAAGUUCAUAAUCGCAAGUAAAGGGAAGCAACUGAUACUAGUGUAAUUUAUGUGCUUUACAUGUGUUACAGUCCUUGACCUUUACAAUGAAUGAAAUGGUUGUGUUUUUAGCUCACCUGAGCACGAAGUGCUCAAAGGUGAGCUUUAGUGAUCACCCUGUGUCCGGCGUCCGUCGUCGUCCGUCGUCCGUCCGUCCGUCCGUCCGUCGUCAACAAUUUGACUGUUAACACUCUAGAGGUCACAUUUUUGACCCAAUCUUAAUGCAACUUGGUCAGAAUGUUACCCUCAAUAAAAUCUUGGACGAGUUCGAUAUUGGGUCAUCUGGGAUCAAAAACUAGGUCAUCAGGUCAAAUCAAAGGAAAAGCUUGUUAACACUCUAGAGGUCACAUUUUUGGCCCAAUCUUAAUGAAACUUGGUCAGAAUGUUACCCUCAAUAAAAUCUUGGAUGAGUUCGAUAUUAAGUCAUCUGGGGUCAAAAACUAGGUCAUCAGGUCAAAUCAAAGGAAAAGCUUGUUAACACUCUAGAGGUCACAAUUUUGGCCCAAUCUUAAUGAAACUUGGUCAGGAUGUUACGCUCAAUAAAAUCUUGGACGAGUUCGAUAUUGGGUCAUCUAGGGUCAAAAACUAGGUCACCAGGUCAAAUCAAAGAAAAAGCUUGUUAACACUCUAGAGGUCACAUUUUUGGCCCAAUCUUAAUGAAACUUGGUCAGAAUGUUACCCUUAAUAAAAUCUUGGACGAGUUCGAUAUUUGGUUAUCUGGGAUCAUAAACUAGGUCACCAGGUCAAAUCAAAGGAAAAGCUUGUUAACACUGUUGAAGCCGCAUUUAUGACUGUAUCUUCAUGAAACUUGGUCAGAUUGUUAAUAUUGAUGAUCUUAAGGUCCAGUUUGAAUCUGGGUCAUGUAGGAUAAAAAACUAGGUCACCAAGCCAAAUCAAAUGAAAAGCUAGUUUACACUAGAGGCCACAUUUAUGACCAUACCUUAAUGAAACUUGGUCAAAUCUUGAUGAUCUAUAGCUCAAGUUCAAAUCUGGGUUAGGUGGGGUCAAAAACUAGGUCACUAGGUCAUAUCAAAGGAAAAGCUUGUUAACACUCUAGAGGCCACAUUUAUGACUAUAUCUUCAUGAAACUUAGUCAAAAUGUUAAACUUGAUGAUCUUUAGGGCAAUUUUGAAUCUGGGUCAUGUCGGGUCAAAAACUAGGUCACCGGGUCAAAUCAAAGGAAAAGCUAAUUAACACUGUAGAGGCCACGUUUAUGACCAUAUCUUAAUGAAACUUGGUCAGAAUGUUAAUCUUGAUAAUCUUUAGAUCAAGUUUAAAUCUGGGUCAGAUGGAGUCAAAAACUAGGUCACUAGGUCAUAUCAAAGGAAAAGCUUGUUAACACUCUAGAGGCCACAUUUUUGACUAUAUCUUCAUGAAACUUAGUCAGAAUGUUAAACUUGAUGGUCUUUAGGUCAAGUUCGAAUCUGGGUCAUGUCGGGUCAAAAACUAGGUCACGGGGGUCAAAUAAAAGGAAUAGUUAGUUAUUACUUUAGAGGCCACAUUUAUGACCAUAACUUAAUGAAACUUGGUCAGAAUGUUAAUCUUGAUGAUCUAUAGGUCAAGUUUAAAUCUGGGUCAGGUGUGUUAAAAAACUAGGUCACUAGGUCAGAUCAAAGGAAAAGCUUGUUAAGACUCUAGAGGCCAGAUUUAUGACUGUAUCUUCAUGAAACUUAAUCAGAAUGUUAAUCUUGAUGAUCUUUAGGUCAAGUUCGAAUCUGGGUCAUGUGGGGGCAAAAACUAGGUCACCGGGUCAAAUCAAAGGAAAAGCUAGUUAACACUCUAGUUUGUUUUUAUCUAUAUUAGAUUUUAUACAUUUGCAGAUUUUUUGUGCAGAAGUGACUUAUGCUAGUGAAUUGAUGUGAAAGGAAUUUUAUCAGACAAAACAGAAAGUUUCCAAGCAGAAUAAACAAGCAGGUAUUUAAAUCCUGCAUAAAGUGUUUUUGAUGAUACUGAAUAAAUGUAGCCGAAAUGUUGAAUGUAGUGAAUGACAACCUAUGAUUAUGUUGUAAAUGUCAAAAACUGUAAUCUCUACCAUAAUGUAUAGUGCAGGUUGCUUUGCUUACUAUAACCAGUACAGGCUUUCUAUAUUUCAAAAUUACUAAACCUGUCAUAUCUAUUGUGCCAGGAACGACAUGUAUUUUAAGUGUCAGGGUCAGGCGAAAUGAUUGAAAAUACAAUUUGUUUUAAAAAAAUACAAAACUUACAACUUACGAGGGUUGAAAACUGAAAUUAACUAAGGAAGGACUCUGUAGGAAGGUGAGGAGGAGAAAGAAUGUAAUUACAACUAUUUGUCGUGUGUAGAUAAAGAGUUUGAUAGUAUAGAAGUAAUAUACCAUCUUUUAAGCUUUCUUGGCAGAGGAAUACGGGUUAACUGACUGACGCAAUUACGAAUGAUUUGCCCGAGGGUACAAGUUUUCUGUUUCAUGUGCCAAACCUAUAUUGCUUUAUUAUUGUUUUUAUAGAAAUGUGCCAAAUUUUUUAUACACUGCUUCAGUCUGGAUAUAUAAAUAGCAGAGGUGUCAUGGAAUGCAUACAGAAUGAAGACAACUCUUGAGUUGUUUAUUUUUGGCAUGUCUAGUUCAAGGAAUAGGUAUUUUUUGCUGGACUACAGUUUCAGAAUGGAAAGAAAAAACACCAUGCAAGACAAUGCAGAAUAGGAAAAACUUGAUAAAAAUGAUCCUGAGAUUUUAUUUGAUAUGUGACCAGUUCAUUAUAGAAUUAUUAAUUUUUUUGAAAUAAUGAAAAUUAUGUCUAUCGUAAUACCAUUUGGUACUCUGUUCUCAAAUCUGACUGGAGCACUUUGUUUGUACAUUGUAAUUGUAUUUUUCUGUUGUUUUUUGUGUUUUGUUUGUUUGUUUUUUUUUCUCAGAAGUGUGCCAAAUUAUGUUUACUUGUAAUGACUAUUGUCUAACAGAAAUGUGCCAAAUACCGACCUAGAAUGGUAAAAUAAAAAAACUGUUGUAGUUUGUAGUGUUCAUAUGAUAAAUUCACUAGUUAUGCUUUCAUUGGUUCAAAUACAUUGUGAACUUUGUCAUUUUAAUGUCAUAGAAAUGCAAUAAAAUAUACAAAAAUGAUAAAAAAAA